rnacentral:lncRNA from 1 species
UUUUGAAUUUUUUACCAAAAUGUUUCUGAACUUGUUUUUUGUUGAUUUUUAUUUUUAUUUUUUAUUUUUUAGAAAUUCAUCCGAGAUUCGGUCCUUCGAAAAGAAUCUUGGAGCUGGCACAGCAUAAAAUCUCAAAAACAGUUUGGGAAACGACUCCUUGUGAGUGGCUGAUAUGGGGCAACCAGGAGCCCAUUCGGCCCAUCUCCUCAUCAGCUCUCAGAACCACUCCGAGUGCAAGAAUCCAAUACCUGUCCAGACACAAAAGAGACAUCUCAGCAAGAGAGGACCACUGGAGGAAAGGGGAGGAGGUGAGCUUCUUCAGGAAGACCCUGCAUCCUUCCUCUGAGACGUCUCAAUACAAAAACACUCUGCGCUUGUCGACGCCCAAAACCAGGAGCCGUUUUCUCCAGGAAGCAGGGUCCCUUCACACUCCUCACUGCGACAGUAAUUGUCCUAUUUGGCACAUUGAUCCCAGAGUGAAAAGCGCCGUCAUCACUCCUCGACUGCUGCAGCUGUCAGAACCUAAACAGAACCACCCGGACUACCAGAACAACAGGGAGUGUGCUGCUUCCAUCAUUUCCUCGGCUUCCAGAACGGCUCGAAUUUCUCAGAGACUAGUCCAGCUGUCCCUGCCCAAGCUGAGGGAGAGCAAUGUCUGCCACCAGCUGGGACGCCUCGAGGAACCCAUCUGGACUGUUUCAAGAGCAGCAAAGAGAGCUAAAGGAACGGCUCGUACCGAGAUACUAGCAGCACCAAAGCAGCUUCACAAAGACUACAUCCCUCCAGGAAAAGCAGAGUGGAGCCGCAAAAAGUCCUUCUGAGCAUCUGUUAUGACGACCACAUCAGUAAUUUUUAAUUAGUACCUAAAGUAAGCUAGAUUUGUACCAUGUGGGAGGUAGAAAUGUAGUACAAAACUCAGUAUUUUGAGUUAUUUAGAUAAAAAAAUACAAUCUUUGUUUGAUUUGUAUUGCAGGAACUUUUAAUCACUCAAAUAAACUUCAUAUUUACUGUAAAUCCUCUAAUAAAGGCCCAGGCCUGUAUUUGACUCAAGCUCAUCAAGCUCCAGGCCUUUAUUGGAAGGAGGACCAGAAUUAGAGGCUGGCCUCAAUUUCUAUUUGAGCAAAAUGAACUAAUGGUUCGCUGGAGUUUUUGACAAUUAAAAUUGCGCCCACAUUUU